UUCUGGAGCAGGAACCUGGACCAGGAGCACUGCCUCGAGCUCUUCAGGACCUGUAGAAAUGGGAUCAUUUUGUUUUGUUCCUGUGGAACGUUCUGCAAAUAAGGUCGACUUUCUGCUCUGUUUGUUGCUGCAGAUCGAAAAGGAGUUUUGAAUACAAAAAUCACCCGAACUCGGACAAGAUCAUAUAGAAGUCAAAAGAAGUGUAGGAAUUCACAGAUGUUUACUACUAGUUUUGUUAUGUGGGUUACCACAUACACGUGUUUUUUCCAGAACCAAUUUCAGGAACACAAACCAUGAAAUUUACACUUCAGUUCAGCAACCUUUUUUUUUUAGGGACACUUCAGUUCAGCAACAGCUCCCCCAAGACACCUCCAAGUUUCACGACAUCUCCUGUCUUCUCGUCAUCGGAAAGUCCACACCGCCUGUCUGAGCCCACCCGCCCGAUCGGAAAGUCCACACCGCCAGCCACCCAGGAGCCAGCUCAGCUGAGCCCACCCGCCCGACCGGAAAGUCCACACCGCCAGCCACCCUAGGGACGAAGAUAUUAGGGGCAAGAUACAUGUGCUCUUGGAAGUUGGAAUUGCUCUAACUGAAACAAAGCACGUGGGCUGCGGGCGUGGGCCGCGGAUUUGUGCGGGGAAGCGAGAGACUGGGCUCUUAUUGGAGCGUUGUUGGGAGCCCCUUGUAUCUUUGUUGAGCCCAGACCCCAAAAAAAAACAGGCGGAGAAAAACACGAUUAGAGCCCGCCGGCCAGUAAAUAAGCCUGCCAUUCAUUCUUGGGCAGCUCUCGAGAGAAACUAGCCCACCACAGUCAGAUUAGACCGAUGAGCCAACUAAGUUGCUGAACUGAAGUGCCCCUCCAAAAAAAAAAAGGUUGCUGAACUGAAGUGUAAAUUUCAUGGUUUGUGUUCCUGAAACUGGUUCUGGAAAAAGUACAUGUAUCUGGUAACCGCACAUAACAAAACUAGUAGUAAACAUUUGUGAAUUCCUACACUUCUUUUGACUUCUAUAUGAUCUUGUCCGAGUUCGGGUGAUUUUUUUGUAUUCAAAACUCCUUUUCGAUCUGCAGCAACAAACAGAGCAGAAAGUCGACCUUAUUUGCAGAACAUUCCACAGGAACAAAACAAAAUGAUCCCAUUUCAACAGGUCCUGAAGAGCUCGAGGCAGUGCUCCUGGUCCAGGUUCCUGCUCCAGAACUUCUUGUAGUACUCGUCGUACGUGUAAUUCCUGUACACGGCGGGGGUCUCCGCCGUCACGAGCUUCCGCGCGGGGCCCAGCUCCACGUCGUUGCACGGGCACAGGAACGACGCCACCGACAGCCGCUCCCGGUCCGAGUUCACCACCGCCCGGUGCCACACGCUCCGGUACUGCCCGUUGCUCAGCGCCUGCACGAGCAUGAUCCAACACAGAGUUUAAGCUUUGUUCUGCUGGAGUUCGUUCGUUCGUUCGCAGGUCACAAGUCACUGAAAUGGAUGUGGAGGAGAUUAUUUGUUACCUGCAACUGGUCGCCGAUGUUGAUGAUGAGCGCGCCGGGCUGCGGGUUGACGGCGACCCACUUGCCGUCGUGGAGGACUUGCAGGCCGGCGACGUCCUGGUCCAUGAGCAGGAUGGUGAGCGCGUUGGGGUCGGUGUGGGCAGGGAGGCCGUAGGUGAGCUCCGGCGAGGGGCACGGCGGGUAGAAGUUAACGGCCAUGUGCUGCUCCUGCUCGCCCAGCGUCUCCUUCAUGUAGCCCGGCUCCAGACCCAGGCUCUCCGAGAUCACCGCGUACAGCCGGAACCCGAGCUCCCGGACCUCCUUGCAGUAGCUGCUCAUUGUCUCCCUGAACGUACGCGUGCGUGCCAUCAGUCUCAGAAAUACAACUACUACUUCUGCGAAGAACGCUAUUUAGCAAAGAUACAUAAUUGUCACAGUAUAUUAUACUACUAUUUAGUUCUAUACUAGAUCAUGCUCGAGCUCAUCCCAAACCGCCAAGAACAGCACUUGCCCAAGUUUCCUUUGAUAAAGAAUAGCACUUGUCACCGACUGCAAUGUGCCGCGCGAAGGAAUCAAGCUUCGGAACAGACACUGCAACAUGUCAAAAAAAAAACAUGUCUGGAUUCCUCGUGAACAUGUAGCUCUACUUUCACAGUUUUUCUGCACGUGGCUGCUACACUUUUCUUUGUGACUGUGCCUCUUUCUUCGCGCUGUCCACAUGUAAUUUGGCAUGUGCUUCUUACAAUACGUGGCUGCAGUGCUACUCGACUCACGAAGGAAAAGCUGGACUACUGCUUCAUUAUUUAUAUUAAUAUAACAUUGCUAUUUCAUCAUGACUUGUAUGAAAAAUAUGCAUGUGUUCAAUCAUUUAUAUAAUAACAUCUACCAAACAUAUCACAUAUGUCACAAUAAAAAAAUAAGAUAAAAUAGCAAUAAAUCAAUAGUUUAUUAUCCAAAGCUCAAGCGGACGUCCAAACAUCAAACUAAUCACCGGUACGCUAAGAAACCAGUUCACUUGUUCACUGAUCAAAUUAAAAAUCGGCUGGUUUUUGUUCACUGUUUAAUGAAAAACUGGUAGUUCGACCGGUUCGCACCAGUUUAGCUGCAUGAAUCGAAGCGAUCGGAUCACUGACUCAUGGUUUUUCUAGUCCAGCUAGUGAACCGGUUUGGUUUUUAAUACUUGCUAGAGCGCUAACGCAGAUUAAAUGUAGUUCAGCCGGUAAAGUUUCUCAUAGUGAAAUCUGACUACCCGGGUUCGAGUCCAUGACUCAAUACGGGCGCUUGUAUUUUUGUGAAUUUAUUUUACUGGUGCUAUUUUUUCAGCAGUAGGUAACGUGUCCCUCAAUAGUGAGGCGCCUAUGGUGACUUCUUCGAUCUCAAGAUCUGUUUGCUUAAACUCUCUACGGUGCUCACAGAGAGUUAUGUGUAAGCAGUGGACCACUGACUUUUGUGGCAGGGUCGCGUGCCAUAUCCUUGAACCGAAAGUGUGGGAGCGUUGCCGUUCGCUUGAGAGAAGCCAAGUUAUUACAAGCAUGACGUGCUUGCCGCAUUCUUAGGGUUUGUUUAUUUAAGCUGCAACUUUUGAGCUUUUCUAAAUAGCUGCUGCUGACUUUUUAAUUCUGCAAAGUCAACACUAGCUUUUAGAAGAUGUGUUUAGCUUUUUGAGCUCGAAAAGCUGCGAAAAGCUCAUAAAAUUGAACUUUCCAACUUUCCAUACACUUAGCUUUUCUAAACUUCCAACUUUUUAAAAGCUGUACGAGAAAUUCAUUGUUUGUUUAUGCUUCUAGCUUUUCAUGUUGAGAAACUGUUGGGCAGGACCUUAGCCUCAGCCUUACCCAACGGCUCGCUGUGACUGUGAUGAGUCAGAGUGCCGCGAACUUGCCAAGGCACAUGGCGGAGUCAUGCAAAAGGCAAAAACACUGGUCAGCUUGAUGUGCAUCACCUGGGCCAUGUAUCACGUAGUUUGGUCUCGCUGCAUAUCCUCUUGUGUUAGACCUAUUGUUGCAAACCGUGUACGUGAAAGGGAAAGGGGUGACAGAUAUACAUCUGACAGGUUGUACGUGAAAGGGAAAGGGGUGACAGAUAUACAUCUGACAGGUUUUAUGUAGCUGGCUGUCGUCCAUUUGCACUUGAAAGCGUCGCCCCAAUUCAGGCCAUCAAAAGUUGUUUGUUCCGUUGCUUUGCGCCACAACUUGAAUGUCUGCAUCUUUGUGGGCACAUUCAGGAACGUUCAGGAACGGAUGAAGGCCUCAUCUGUGAUGUGUAUACUCACCCAGAAAGAAUGCAUGCGCAAUGCCUGAUUUGCGUGUAACGUUACACUGGUAAACUUAGACAUCGGGAGUUUCCUGAACAGUCUAAAACUCUGCUUGCGUCACCACAAAAGCGAGUUAGAUUCACGCUCUAUGAAUUACUCAUUCUGUUUCGAAAAAAUAAACUUAUCUUUAUUAUUGAGGUUUCCCGCUGUCGUUAUAAUAAACUCAUCUUUAUUAUUGAGGUUUCCCACUCCCAUAACGACAGAGAGGCUAUUAAACCACACCACCAUAAAACCAUCGCCCACUUCCUUACCAUCUACCCAGUGGGAGGUUGGAAGCCCAAAAACCACAAGAAAGAUGGUGGUGGGGACAUUUCUAUCGUGAUAACACAUACCCCACACGCAGGCACAACGUGCCAUGGACGUGCACGUGGGACGUACGGCUGCCGCCACGAUUGGAUCCAAUAAUUCCAAUGGCUAGAUGCAUGCAGCGAUCCACUGUUGGAUAUGCCACCCUUGCUCUACGUUCCAAUGAUGCAAUGCUUAGUAGGGGGGAUACAAGAUGCACAUAGGCGGCAUGUAAUGUCGUGAGCGAUGAGCGGGGUGCUAUCAAUGAAGGGCGGCGGAUGGGGCCGAGCUAGGUAGGAUUGGUCAUUUUCGAGCCAUAGCAGUGCCCGUGGUGAUGUAGCCGGCUAGGAUUGGAUCUGACAUAGAGGCGUGGUGCCAGGCCUACGGUGAGUAGGAGACAGUGAUAGCUUGCAGGCAACGGCUAGAGAUUAGAGGUGUCUGUUGGAGGAGCUAGUGCCUAGAGGUUGGGUCAAUGUAGUGCAUGGAGAGAUUAGAGGCCACAGUGUACCUUAGGGACAUUGUCAUGAUGAAUGGUGUGGCUUCCUGGUUCUUACCCAUGGUACUAAAAAUAGUAAUACCUCCAGCGUCAUAGGAUUCUCUAAAGCAGAUUUUCGGUGUGUUGGUGGCAUAUAUGGGCAUUGUGCCUUCUUGGAGGCAUCACAAAGGAGAGUCAUCCUCCAUAUUCCUCCCCCUCCUACUGGUUGUUGGUAUGACGAGCAUGGUAGCAAUCUGAUGAUGUUGAAAAAGAAGAAGGGUUGGUAGAAGCCUAGGUGGAGGAGAGCGUGAAUGAAGAAGGUGCUAUCCAAUUGGAGGCAACCUGUAGGGUCCAAUAGCAAUUGAGUUGGGGGACGGCCUGUGGGACUCGAUGAGAUGGCGUCUAGUCACGCGUGCUAGUGGCUUGGUCGUGGCAUGAGCGAUGGCCAGCUGGCGGCUGCAGCAUCAUCACGACCUUACAAUAUUAGCUCACACCGGGUUUUUGGUGGCGUCUAAGUGGUUUUCUUUAUUGUUUUAGGUUGUUCAUUUGUUUUUUUCUCAUUCCUAGCACCACUGUCUAGAUAGGGGCGAACUAAUAACAGGCAGACGGGCUACUCAAUAGCAACCCCCUGCCACCAGCCGGCCCCAACACCCCCACCCUCCACCCCUAAAAAAUGUGCACGCACACAAACAUUUCUUUUACAUCGACCCAAUUUGUACUUUGUAGAAUUAUAUAGCCUUAGCCCCGCUUUAUUAAUACAAACGGACACAAACUGGUUUUGCUAUUUAAAGUUUUAUGAACAAUAUGGGUUGGAAUAUUUAGUUAAGAGGAAAGAGUAUCAUAGAAAAUGCAUGGUAUUAAGAAUACUUUAAGCACGUCUUAUCUUUCAAAAAAAGAAUGCCUUUUAUUUGUGGUCACCUACAUAAUAUUUACGGGAAAGGCGGAUUUUUUUUUUGAAACAAACAGGCAGGAGAUCUACCUAUUAUAUUAAUUAUUAUAUUAAUUAAGGAGAAGAGCCUAGAUGGAUGGCGAAGUUAUACAUAAAAAAGAUUACAGAAUUGGACAAAAAUCUCUCAGAGCUCUAGCUCCCGCAAGGCUCCACGUUCUAAUUUCCUCCUUAAUUUUUGCAAGAGCGACCUCACAGCCAACGGGGAAAGGCGAACAUUGCAUAGUAAAGUCGAAAGUAUAUCAGUCAUUUGUAAACGGUGGCCGGUUUCUUGCUAAUGUGAAUUUGGACAUAGAUGUUGAAGCUUUCUUUUUUCCUAUUCUUUUAUUAUUUCAAGCAAUGGUCCAAGUAAGAGACAAAAGAGUGCUCUCUGCACACGCUCAAAAUCUACUGUAAAUUAUACCAGCUAGACUAAAACAACUGUUCAGACCAAUGCUAACAUGGGUUUUUCUUUUGGGCUGCUGUCAACCCAUGUUUCAGUUAUUCUUUCUUUUCUAAUGUUCAAAAAGUACUCUUUUUUUAAUUUUUGUUUUAAAAGGAGUGCACUUGUGCCCGUACAAAUGGCCACUAGGCCCACAAUCGUCAGCCUCGCAUUCUAGAAAUUAGGUGUUUUCUAUUUUAGGUACAACGCAUUUGAAAUGCUCCCACUACUCUCCCCGUGUACACAAAUGGUGCCAUAGCUUAUGACUCGUGAGUGAUGAGCCUCUUGUCAUACCUUGAGUUUUUUUGAAAUUCAGGAUGUGAUUAAAAAGAAUAAUUAAACAAUGAUUUUCUUAUAAUUUUAAAAAUUUUCCAACAAUUAUUUUCUUCACAGGAGAUGUAGUAUAGGAAAAAUAAUUGGUUGUUUUUCUAAAUUAAAAAGUGUUGUUCUGUGUGUGUUGCAUUCAUAUUGAUGCAUCUUGGUAUUUAUUGAGUGCAAAUGUUUUAAAAUGCGUUUAGACGACGACCAGGUUCUUCUGAUAAUUUUCCAACUUUUUCUGAAAUUUAUUCUUGUGUUCCUAGAGCUUAAUCCAAUUUUUUUGGAAGGCUCUAGAAUCCUUUCCAUGAGCUUCAAGUAUUUUAUUUGGACUCCUCGUGUCCCAAAUGUCUCUAGAAGUUUUCUUGGAAUUUUUGGGAUUUCCUGGAUAUUUUUCGUGCUUUAAAACAUUUUCUAGAAUUUUUUGGAUUUGUUUUCGCACUGAAAAGUAAUUUCGGAAAAUAAUAAAUACAAACCUACCCUUUUUGGGCCGAGCCCCCACCCACGAGCCCGACCCGUGGCCCAGCUCUCUCUUCCCUCAGGCCGAGCCUGCGAGGCCCGAUCUAGACCCAAUUGGCCCAGCGGAGCCCAUCUGGGCCCAGCUGCUAGCUGCUGCCCGACGUACGCGCCACGCCACCCUAGGAUCCCACGUCCCUAUAAAACCCUGGAGCCCUCAGCCACGCCCUCCUGUUGUGCCACUGCCACACCCUCGCCCUCCUCCGCGCAGGACCACCACCGCCCGAGUCGGAGUAGAGCUGAGCGCCGCAGGAGCUUGCCCGCCGAUUUGCCGCCUCCUUCAACCACCGGUGCAAGCCGACGCCACCAAGAGCUUCAGGACGUCAAGCUGCAUGUGCGCCGCCACCCGCUGUCCUCAAACUGCCGCGGGAGGACCUCCGUCGCUUGACGACCGAGUCGGCCGCCAUCACCGCCGUUCACCUCUGAUUCCGGCUGCUGCCGUCCAUCUGGACCGCCGGUGAGCUAACCAGCACGACGCCCUCCACCUCCUCUAUCUCCUGCGCCACCUGCCUGAGCCCCUACCUCGCUAGAGCGCCGGUGAUUUCGCUACCUAGAGCCGCCCGUCGGGCAUGGGAGCAAGCUCUAUGAGCUUUUGCGAUUAGGUCCCUGUGAGAUCUAGUAAUCUUUAGAUUAGUUCUAGUGUCUUGCAGAAAACCCCCUCAACAACCAUAGAUCCUUGCAACCGAAUCCUAACCCUAUCCUUUUGUAGAUCUAACCCUGAGGAUUCAUCUAUUCGUAGUGACUAUUCACUGAGUCUAGAGUUUCUUCUCUACUAGCCCCCGAAGUAUAUGGUUAAUCACGAAUAGAUCCCUAGAAUCUUUAGAUGACCAUACCUCUCGCGUUUUGUAUCCAUUUAAGCUCGUUCUUGCUGCGUUAGUUUCAUCUCAAUAUAAACUACGCACUAGUCAUGAUAUUUACCUUAAUGUGUGUUUUAGGAAUUUAUUCUAAAAUUAAUUUGAUUAAUGUUUAGUUGAAUUCCUUUUCUUGAUAAAACUUAAUUCGGGUAUACAUAUCGGUUUUCAUAGUUAAUAUUAAUUUGACUAAUCCUAUUUAACUGAGUUUUCUAAAUAAAAUCUAAUUAGAGUUGUACCUCGCUUUCAUAAUUAAAGGUUAAUUUAAUUAAUGCAUGUUAAACAUGUCUUCUUUAAUUAAAAGCUAUUUAGUAUUAUACACCAUUUUUUAUAAUAAAUGUUAAUUUGAUUAAUGCUUACUCUCAAAAAAAAUUCUAAUUAAAAGUUAAUUAUGUUUAUACAUUGAUUUUAUUUAAAUAAGUGUUAAUAUGAUUAAUACCAACAUGAAUGAGUUCAUAAUUAUAACUUGUAUAGUUCAAUGUGACGUAUAAAGUUAUCAAUUAGAUGUUAUUACAUAUAGUUUAUUUUCCAAAGUUAAAUGUUUAAAUGGCAUAAUUUAUACAUCAAUAUUUAUAAAUAAAAGUUGAUUAGGUUUUACCUCGUCUUUUUAGAUACAAAUAUGAUUUGAAUUAACUCUCACUUAGAGUAUUUUCUAAAAGUAUCCUUUUACAUAUGUGUUCUAAUUAAAAAUAAAUGUAGCAUAUAGCUCUUGUCUUUUCCUUUGCAAUGAAAGUUUCCCUGAUAGAUGUAUGUUUUCAAUGAUACCAUCAUUCUUAGUGUUUCACGCACCUUCAUGAUCUUAGAAUCGAGCUCUAUCCUUUAGUAUGUUCUUUUAAAGCUUUCCUUUGGUUGGUGCAUUAUUCUUAGUUGUACUUGUUUGUUUGCUUUGAAUGUUUGUGCCAAUGAUUGCUUUGAGCAGAAGGAUCGUUGUUCGAAAGAUUUGAAGGUUAAGAGUUUCAAGAGAGCAAGAGCUAAAGAGCAGUAAAAGUAACUUUUCUUUGGAGAAAAGCAAGUGUCCCUAAUCAUCCUUCUAUCUACGCUCAUUUUACAAGAAUACCAUGUAUUAAUUGGAACAUGGAGCAACCACCCAGGAAAAUAAUACAACCACGAGAACUACAUGGCUCUGGUCUUGACUGAUUAAUUAGAGACUCUAGUUUGGGGUAAUCUUACCGAAAGGGCAAAAGGGGGGGAUUGAGUCGUUGUAUAGCCGGUCCUCUUGGGGAGUGGACUUUGCUAAGACACUAUGCUCAUUAGGGAGGUUUAUGCACAUCAGACACCGAAACUUUAGCAGGUUACCACUUAUUAGGGAAUAUUUGUAAAGGCCUCAUAGCAUCCCUAUGCAGUCACACCUUGAUAAUGUGAUAAGUGUCUACUUUUGCACAGUAUGGUUGGGUCCAAAGUUCUUCUGAACUUUUACGCGACUUGUGAUGAAAGUGUACAACCUUUGCGAAGUGUAAAACUAAUACAUCGGCCGUGCUCACGGUCAAGAGCGGCCUAAACCCUCACAUAAUUAAUAAACUUGAAGAUGGACUUAAAUCGUUAUUCUGGUUAUUUCUUAUGGUCUUGCUGAGUACCAACCAUAAGCGUACUCACCCUUACUUAUUGCUGCUCAGAAGAGAAAGGUGUGUGAAGUUUUCUGAAGAUGAUGCUGAGUUCUAGACGUACACGGCCCCCAGUCGAUUGCCUGUGAAGUUUGAAGCCUUCGUUUCCAGGAUUAAGUUGUAUAUCUCUGAUAGACUCGUAAGUCUUUAUUUAUAUUCUUUUACGUGAUACUGUUACUGUUAUUCACUGAUGAUAUCACAAUAUGUAUGAAACUUGAUCCUGUCAUAUGUAGCACUUGGUUUUGUUUAAAAACCGGACGUGACACCUCUUCCACCCAGAUUUUGCAUUUGCAAUUUGCCUCGUUUCAAAUAGGAAGUAGAUAGAGUAACAAUUGAAUAUAGCGUGAUUAGUUCAAGGCGGCAAAAUAAUGGACUUACUUGAAGUCGGGCGGGUUGGACGGCCAGUCGGGCACGAACUGGUCGAGGGGAUGGCAGUGCAGCCGGAGGUAGUCGCGCCAGUUGUGCACCGUCUCCUUGCGCACGUUGAAACUCGUGGACAGCCGAAUCUUCCUGGCCGGGUCGUCGGAGUACAGCUUCGCCUUCUCCUCCGCGGGGAGCCGGAAGAACUCGCGCGCCACGGCCAUCACCUCCGCGAUCAGUCCUGCGUCUAUCCCGUGGUUCAGGACCUGCAUAUAACACGAAAUCGAUCAUGACCCGUCAGCAACUCGAAGCGUCGGCGCACGUUCUGCCAGUGGCAAUUGGCAGCUCAUAUUACGUUACGGCCCCAGCGCGUCGAUCAUCACCUGGAAGAAGCCGUGCGUGCGGCAGGCGCCGCCGAUUGCGGCGACGACCGCGGCGCGGUCGGGGCUCGUGAGGUCGACGACGGGGAUGCGCGCGCCGGAGACGACCUCCGCGAGGCGCGGGCGCUGCGCCUCCGGCCGGACGUAGUUCCCCGGCAUGGUGCGGUGCACGGCCGUGGAGAGGAGGUUCUCCGCCAUGUUUGGCGAUGCCGCCGGCCGGCCCUGUUCACCGCGAGCCUACGGAGCUCUUGCGUGCGUGCGCGAAGCGGGGAGGAGGAGCCGGGCUGCUGGUGGCCUUCGACAUGGGGCUCUGGGAGGCGGUCGUCACGCGCUCUUAUAGCGGACGAGUAGCGUUUUGUGUGGUGACCGCGCCUAGGCCGAGCCGCUGACGCUGACCCCCGCGGUCGUUGAGUCGCGUCAUCACGUGGCGGCCAGUGACAUCACGUCGCGGCGUCUCGCCGUGGCCGUGGCCGUGCCGGCCGGUUGGCACCCGGCGGCAGGUAAGGCAGAACCCCGCCCUGUGCGCCUUGUUCGUUCGUCCUGCCCAUCCUUUUUCUUUUCGCCGAGAUCGGUGACCCAACACCAGCACCAUGUGGACGGUGGCUGACUGGUUAGUGCUCGUUGUCGUCGUUGCGGCGGAUCGCAGGAUCCAAGGGCCAGAUGACAGAGCGCCAGAGCAGAUGCCUCGUCCUCGUGGAAGGAUGUCUGGUCGACCAGACGAUCGGUGCGGCGCGGUCUUGGACGGAGCGUAGCCGGAGUCAGAUCCACAUCCACGUGCUCUGCCGUCGGGGCCGUACUGUUACAACGGGGCAGGCUUUUUGUUCAGAGCAGAUCUGCAUUGUCGAGCAACUAACAGCCCUGAACCAUUGCAUUUGUAUCAUUGUAACCGGUGGUCCGCGGAAGACAUGGAUCUGCAAUUCUGCAUUAGCGUGGUGCGCAAUGUCGCAUGCUGCAUGUGGAAUUCGGGGUUGAGAAAUGGAGCUCGAAGAACAAUCGUCUAGCCAAUGUGUGGCUCACGUAGAGGCGUAGAGCUGGACGCCGAGUCAGAAAAUCAUGAGCUGGCUUGGCUCGUUUGCAGCUCCGCUCGGCUCAGCGGCUCGGUGGAUUUUAUUUUUUUUUACAAGCCGAGCAGUUAUUUUUCUCAUUUUGUUAACGAGCUAGCUCGAGCUCGCGCUCGCAAGCCAAACGUUGGAAUGCUAAAGCUCCAACAUAGGGAGCCAAGCCGAGCCACCGAGGUGCUCCAUACAUGGUUGAUUUUUUUUAAUAAUUAUGUAUGAUGGAUUUUAUGGUUUAGAAUAUUAUAAUAACUUAUUUUUAUAUUUCAUAUAUGUUGAUAUGGUAGUUUUAAAUUUACAUCUCGCUCUGGCUCAAGCUACUAACGAGCCGAGCUGAGCUAAACUUUUUGAUCGUUUUGUUAACAAGCCGAGCCGACUCAUUUGGCUAAUGAGCCAGACUGAGCCGAGCUGAGCCGAGGCGUCAAUCCUAGGAUCACGUUGCCUCGCUUAGUUGCCAUCUAUGUGGAAAAGUCAAAAGUGUCCGUCCAUUUCAAACCGUAGAUUUUUCGUCUGCUUUGGAGGCCACGAGCACAUGUUCUUCAUUUUCCUUUGCAUCACGGGGUAACUCCGUGCCCAAACCAUAGAAUAACAAAAUAUGUUCCUUAUUUGUUUGAUCUUGUUCUUUCGUUCCAUUUCAACCUUUUCAGUCUGCCAGCUGAAUCAGCUCCGACGCAUCAGAACAGAUAAGUUAGAUGCAGGUAGUGCAUCGUGAUCUAUAUUACAAACCUCUGUCUGUCCUCGAAACUGAUUUAGAAGAACGAGUGGUGGCAAAAGGGCAUGUCUCGGACAAAUGCUCUUCCGGUAGGUCGUUGUGCAAACUGGUUAGGUGCAGCCCUGCAGGCGAAGCUAACAGACAAGUCUCGGCAAUCAUUGGGUCCACGUAGGCUACCCCAAAGCCACCUUCCACACACUCACGGUCCACAAACGACCCACCCCAUGCUUGAGUUGGUCGUCUAGUCGUCUUCGUCCUCGAGCCAUGGCUUUUCGUCACCGUGACAUGCCAUGUGUCCAUGUCUCGGAUGGGCUUGGUCCGGUGACGGGAGGGUUUGGCAGGCCCAGCAUCCAAAAAAAAAUUUCCUUUCAGUCGAUGGUGCUAGUGACACCACCAACAACAAUGAGGUUCUAGACCUCUAGUUCGGGGUUGUGGAUGUGCAUAAGCUUACACUGAUUCGGGGUAGCAUUGUUCGGGUAGUAGUGGUGAGUGCUAUGAUAGGGAUGACAAGCUGGUUGCAACCUACAUGGCGAUGACUUGUCUAUUGUAUCUUAUUUACCUCUUCUCUUCAUCUCCCAUGAAUCGAGCAACACCACCAUGGAAGAGCAACACUUUCUUGAUGCCAGGUACAUAGAUUAACAAUGCAUUUUUAUAACCCGUAGGUACACUUUAUUCUUUUAAAUAUAGGUUAUCGUUCAGACCGGAUCCACUAGUUAAGUGGAUCCAACCGCAGUUGAACCCUAAACCCUUUGCAAUUAAAAGGUUGAAUUACCCCAACCCGCAAAAGGAAAAUACCCACUGCCACUCCGUCACGGCAAAAUCCCCAUCUACAAGCAGGGUAGUAUGGCUCAUUAUCUCUUACCAGCAGUAAGGGUUUGUUUGGUUCUAGCAUGUGAUUCACUACCUGGACAAGGCAACAUGCUCAGGCCGUUGAUUUCAUCAGCCUAGAGCUGCUGCCUGGCUCAAAACUGUAACCAAACAAGCUCUAACUAGCUGGUGAACCCAAACAUCCCAGCUAAUGCUUAGCUCUAAUUUUUAGCUAGUUAAUAAAAGCUCUACCCAUUAGUCAAGCUAAUCAUUAGCUAGAGUGGAUACAAUCGCGGUCUUAGAAACGAACGGAGUUAACUGAAAUAACAUGGGCUCGCCCGCGGCCUGCCCACAGAGCAUUUAGCGAAUCUUCCCACUGGGCAUGACGUGAUUCGCAGCGCUGUCAUGCGUCUAACGAUGACGUGCUGUUGCAACGGCGAGAUUCGCGUGGAGUUCAGGCUCCGACUGAACUGCCAGUGAAGUACAAUAAAGAUGGGCUUUCUGAUCGGAGCCUGGCGUUUUCCGGUGCGUGGAGGCAGGUAUGGAAGUGAUCAGAAAUGAAGCCAGUUUUCUUGUUGUACACAGCACGCGACAAGAACAGAGUUUAAUACGGCAUCAAACUCCAUUUCUUUUGUAGCACAAGACGCGAACCUUUGUCAUCAGUGCUCUGCUUCUUUCGUUCCAAAUUGUAGGUCGUUUUAACUUUUCUAUGUAUAUAAUUUUUACUAUACACUUAAAUAUAAUAUUUAUCUAUAUAUGUAUAAUAAUAUCUAUGCAUCUACAAAAAUCAAAAUGAUUUACAAUUUGAAACGGGAGAGGAAGUACUCUUUAUCUUUUUAUGGACAAAAAUCUGUGCUCCUGUUUCCAAGCGACAAGCGUAGUCCGCAGCAUGGACAGUACUAGUACACCCUACACAGCUAGAAAACAGAUCGAUGGCCUUGGUCCAAACUUAGUCCAUUUCGUCAUAACUGUAUAGCCAGGCCUCAGAUUCCAAGUACAUGAACCUGUGCACCGAAUGCCACUACCCCACGACGCCGUUCCACGAAAGUUCCGCGAGUCUUCCUCCCGGUCCGGCCGUUCUCCGGCCCAUCGUCGUCGCCGUCGCCGCCGCCGGCCGACAAAAGCGAAGCUGUUGCUGCCGUUUACCCGUUCCAUGCACGCGGUCAGUCGCCGCGCAAGGACAACGGGUGGCCACGACGAACCGGACGACGUACGCCGGCGGCUCCGGCUGCGACACGGUCGUGCAGAAUCUGCGCCAGUGGAUGGCUCCAAUUGAACGAGUCGCGGAUUCGCGGCAAGUGGCCGGCCGUGCACGCCGCACGCGGUGGCGGUGGACCGGCACGCGCGCGGCUGCUGCACGCACGACGGCGAUCGUCGACGUCGAUGCUGAUCUUUGGCUGCGCAGAAGGCGAGUGCAACGUCACUGGCGACCGACGUGCGUGACGGGACGGAAGUGUCCCUGAGACCCUGACACUCCCGCACUGAGUAGCUGGGUACGUGGUGAAUUGAUCACUGGAUGUUGCCGUCACCAAUCACACCAGCCUCACAGGAAAGGAAUGAAGGAUGGAAAUAGCAUAGCCGCAGCUAGGUGUUGGUACCUGUACUACCAUCCAGUAAAAACUGCAAAUGUGGAUCCUUGAAUUCUAGCCUUGUUUAGUUCACCCCAACUUUCAACUUUAGCACUAUGCAAAAAGAAGAUUCCUCGUCACAUCAAACUUGCGGUACAUGCAUGGAGUACUAAAUGUAGACGAAAUUAAAAAUUAAUUGCACAGUUUUGUUGUACUUUGCGAGACGAAUGUUUUGAGCCUAAUUAGUCAAUGUUUGGACAAUAAUUCACAAAUACAAACGAAACGCUACAGUGUGUUACAGUACUGUAACAGUAAUUUGGCACCUCCAAACUUUGACAACUAAACAAGGUAGUGCCGAAUUGACUUAAACUGGACUACGCAUGCUGGACCAGGGAGUUUGGUUUCUGCACACACACGCAUGCUGACGGGCAUGAAUCCGUACACAGGGAUUUUUGGCGUUAUGCGGAAACGACCUCGAUCCUGGGAUGGGGACAUGGAAGUCGUCGUUGAACUAUUCGCGUGGUAAGAAAAUUCGGCGCGCAAAUCACGCCAGCUAACGACAUGACAAGUAAGCAAUUCCGACAAGCCAUGGAGGAUGGAUGAGAUGAAAAUCCGAACCCCUAGACCAGGCUGUCUUAACAGGUUUUUGACUGCGCUUGCUCAUUGCAAGUAAUAGCAACCACUACUCUGAUUCUAGUCCCCGUGAAUAUCUUAGGUCCUAUCUAAACUUUUUUUUCGAGCAAAUCCACCAUCUAAACUUUAGCUGGCUAAAUUUAGCUGAUUUGAUCCAAACAGGACAGCUAAAGACCUCCCAGCUAAAUUUAGCCCUUUAGCGGGUUUCAACCAACUAAACCCAUCUAAAGAUAUUUAAAGACAAUUUUACCCCUCCACAAUCCUGGUAAAAAUCCCUCGCGACCCGCGGCCUUCUGCUUCCCACCCGCGGCCCCUUCCGUGCCGCCGCCUUCGGAUUGCAGCCUCCUUCCCACUUCCUACCGAGCCGCGGGCGGAACCCUGCUCUUCCUCCGUCGCUGCCACCAUCGGGCCGCGAGCAGGGCCCUGCUCUUCCUCCGUCACCGCCACCAUCGGGCCGCGAGCAGGGCCCUGCUCUUCCUUCGCCGCCACCGUCACCAGGCCGCAGCCAGGGCCCCUGCUCUUCCUCCGCCGCCGCCACCACCGGGCCACGGCCAUGGCCAGGGCCCUUGCUCUUCCUCCCCCGUCGCCGCCAUGGAGAGGUGGCUCAGCGACGCGCCCACGUCGCGCACGGUGAGGUUGUUGCCCUUGGGGACGCAGCCGACGUGGAGCGCCGCACCGGCGCGGCCCCGCCGGAUCUCCCCGUUGCAAGGGCCCUUCUGCACCAAGGAGCGUGAGCACAGGUGGUGGAUCCAUCAUCGCGGGAGCUUGGGGUCCGAGGUCAGCGAAGAGGGAGGCGAAAAGGAUUUUUUAUUUUCGGGCGGUGGGUGCCUGGAUGUGGGAAGGGGGCUGAGGUUUCGAAAUUUGGAGCCUCUCUCACGAUUUGGCGAAGGCGAGGGCGAGCAAGAGCAGGUCACCGCCGGUGGCUUGCCUGGUCUCCGACACCGCUAGGGAGGUCAUCGACGGCAUGAAGGGUAGCAUGAUAAUUUAUUUUUAACAACUAGCAUUUAGCUAGUGGAUCUAAACAUCCCUAGCUAAAGUUUAAUCAGCUAAAAGUAAAUUCUAACUAGCUAAAAUUUAGAUGGGUGGAUCCAAAUAGAACCUUAAUUGCUCAAGCAAAGCACGGCGGUGUGGGUACUUCUGGCCGCGAUCAGAGAUUACACUCGAGCUGGAACUGAGGUACCAAUGAUCGAUCCGUACCCAAAACUAGUGCCAGUGGACAGUAUUUUUGGUGUAGGCGAUUCUGGACAGCUCACUUGAGCGCCUCUCUUAUUCGUAUCGUACCCGCUUGGUUCGAGGAGUUGACGGGGGCAAGUCAAACAAAAUUAGUGCUGCAUGAUUGCAUCAUUGUAUAACACAUAUCCCUUGGAUGAUUGCAGUUCUUUUAUUGACGAGGGCGUCAGCAGUCCCGUCUUUGCUUGCAUCACUUGGGGCCUGGGAGAGCCUAAGGCUCACCAGACUUCAGAUUCGUUUCUUUUCUUUCUUUCUUUCUUUUCGAGGACACAACUUCAGAUACUGCAUCGUGAUUGAGCCUCAAGUUCCGUUUGCUGUGUUGGGCUCAGUCAGACUAGUGCCUCAGCCUUUUGCUCUACAUAUAGGCCCAUAGUGUUCCUUCUUCUUUUGAAGCCUAUUUUUGGCCCAUACCAUUCUUCUUUUCAAAAUCAUUGCGGCCCACAUGUCCCUGACAACAGACAUCCACAUGGCCCACCUCGAGGACCUACAGAUACACCGUACACGUGUGCGCGACUGCAGCACUAGGGACGUGUCGCACGUCUCGUGAACCCUAGAGACUUCGACAGUUGAGUAUAAAGGCAGCUAGCAGCACAUCGAUGAUGAUGAGCUUCGAGCCAGCUACACAAACCAUGCAUAUGGAAUCUCUUCGUGACGAAUGUUGCGGACAUUUCUCGGUCGGGCAUUGGACCACGUCGUCCCGAAUUCCCAUCCGUCCAAUUCGUGCAUGUCUCUUGCCGUAGCCGUCCGAUUUUGGAAUUCCCACCUCCUUUCUCGAGAGAUCUGCCCGCGGCCCUGCGCAUCGUCCUGCCGGCCGCCGGCUCGCUGCCAGCUCUGCCAGCGCCGCGACGUUCCAACGGCUGCCCCUGCGUCCAUGGACCGUCCAUCCAUCUCGAGCCCUCCCGCUUCGCAUCGUUAUUGACGAGAGUCCCGUCAGUCGUCAUACCCGGCAGGCGCAGCGCGGUCGCGCAGCUGGCGCGCCCCGCUCGGCGGCAUCGCCCGGUCCAUCGACGCACUCGGACGACGGCCAUAUCCUCUCCUCCACCGCGGCCGCGGUCUCCCACGGCUCCAAGCCACAGCUUGCUUCUCACCACUAGCCCUCCGAGGUGCUCCGCUCCUUCAAGGAGCUGCGUCGCCUCCAGCCCUCCACAUAGAGCUUCGCACACCCCACGGGCGAAACUCAGCAUGGACGACGGCCCGUUCCUCAAGUGGAAAUCCGACUUCGUCUCCACGCUCUGCAGCUGCGUCACGCUCGGCGCUUCACCAGUCUCGUCAAACCGCUGACAGAGUCCACUCCCGAUUCCCAAUGGAGGGCUCAAGCUUCGCGUUGUCUGGAUCAUCAGCUCGCUGAUUGCUGCAUUGGUGAGCGCGAGGCAUUACCUGCUGCAGCGUGCAGCCGAAAAUAUCACGCAAUGCUGGAGAGCUUGAACCUGACGGCCACCGAUGGACAAGAGACAGAGUGGUGUCGAAAUGCUGCCAGGUGCCAAGGUGAGCGAGUUUCAAUCCCAUUUGAUCCCAUAUGCUUCGAGAUGUACCUCUGUGGUGUUAUUUGCUUGGACACUUCAAUUUAUGUGGUGCUGAUGUAGGAUUUUUUUUUGUUGGUACUAGGAACAGAUGUGCCUCCUUCAGAAAUUCUUGAGCAUAAAGAAGCAUUACGAUGACAAUUGUAACCUCUUUCAAUUUGGUAUUAACCAUUCAUCGUCUCAGUUGAAGAUAUAUUAUUUGAUUUAAAUACUGCAUCUUAGUAGUACAUGUGAAUUACUCUUGCAGAAUUUGCUAUAGCAUGUGUAUAUACUCCCUCCGUUCCAAAUUGUAAGUCAUUCCAAGAAUCUUGGAGAGUCAAAGUAUCUCAAGUUUUACCAAAUUUAUAUGAUAAUAUAAUAACAUUUAUGAUGUCAACUAAGUAUCAUUAGAUUCUUUAUCAAUUAUAUUUUCAUAGUAUAUCUAUUUGAUGUCAUAAAUCUUUAUAUUUUUCUCUAUAAUUUUGGUCAAACUUGAGAUGCUUUAACUCUCCAAGAUUCUUGGAAUGACUUACAAUUUGGGACGGAGGGAGUACAUCUGAAAUUUAGCAGCUCAUUAUGGAACACAGUGUAAACUAAAUAUAUUAUCUUUAAUAACAUAUCUGAAGCUCUAAACUUCUAUCUCUGAAUUGGAGAAGUCAUCAUCUGAAAUCACUGAUUUGUCUACUAACAAAAACAUAGCCCUUUUGUUUGCCAUGCCGUAGUAUAUUACACCAAAAUAGUUCAGCUUGAAUUGCAUGCACUAGACUUUGUGCACAGCCGUGCUAGCAUGGUAGAUACUAUCCCCUGUCCAACUCCAAGGUAUUGAUAUUCCAUCUUGCGUCAUACUAUCUACAUAACUCAUAAGAACAUUCUGUGGUCUAUUAUGCAGGUAAUGAAACGAGCUCCAGGCACAUAAAACGUACUCCGUACUCAACUAUGGCAUACUAAUUAAACAGGCUCUCCAAAGAGGGCGCGGCAAGGCCACGCUUGUGUUUCUAGUUUCAUACGAGGCAACCAGAUACUCGGUCUAUGCUGUAUGGAUUUUCAGGUCUCGGAAGGCUUACAGGUUCGCAGGUUAAUUGGUUCCAUCCACCUUUGCAAUACACAUACUGCUUGAUUUUCUUUUCCAGACACAACUUGUAUAUAGACGGAAGUAAAACCCUCUGAGCUGAUCUGACUGGGGUUUGUUGGUGCUUACACAGAGCUUAUUCCUAUGGGUUCAAGAAAACCCCACCGGCUGGCCGCUGGCGUCGCCGGCGGCUGCACCGGAUGUACUUCACCCUGAGUCCCGGUUGGAGGUGCGCUCCCUGCCGGGUAAUCCAAUGUACAGCUCCGUCUCAACGUCCGCGUUGUCGUUGCACGGCGCCGGCAAAUUACGCGGCCACGGAGGGAGGCAGCGGGGGUUCAGGGCGGGAGCCACCGGCUGCGGCUGAACGUUGCGUUGCUGCAGCGACAAGUGCAGAGAGUGAGAACUCGAUAUGUUUAGUUAUCUACUAUGUACAUGAUUGCUUGCACAUAACACAUAAGAUAUUGGAUAUUACACACUUUGCAAAUGGUUUACUGAUACCAACAAGUGGUUUGAUUGCAUUUACCUUUUCACGUAACUCUUUGUUGUCUUUAAGCAGGGUCCUCUCCUGGUAGCGAUAGAAGAAACAAAUAACAGAGGGAGUCAGGAAGUGGUUACUGUGGAGUAGUAGUUUGAGGAUCCUCUGGGCCGAUGCAUUACCUUCUCCUUCAGCUUCGCUAUCUGCUGCUCCAGCAGUUGGGUCUGUCAGGAAAAAUGUAGGAUGCAUAUCAACUUCAGAACUGUAGCUUCAUCAUCAAAGCAGGCCUCUCAUUUUUUUAAAAAAGAAGGGUAAUGCAGGAAGUUUAGGUAGUAACUAGCUAACCUUCUUUCCUCUGAUGACGUGGAGACUCUUCUCCAGUUUAACCUCCAAACUAUGCAGUUCUUCAACAGAACAACCUUCUAAAUUUUCACCCAAAAACUUCCUGCAACUCAUGUAAUGGAAAUGACUGCUAACCUUUUUGCUGUAUGAAGAAUAUGGUUGAUCUUCAGUAGAAUAUACUGACUGCUUACCGCUUGGACUUUUCAAGGGCUUCAAGUCGAUUUGCCAAGCUUAAGGCAUCUGCUUUGACUUGCUGCAGUUCAUAUCAUUGAAGUCCUAUUUUAUAUUGAAAAACACUGGACUAACCUCUAAAAGAUAUUUAUUCUACUCAUGUUUCUAAGUGAUGCUGUUAAUGCACUUCAAUGCCUUGGAGGUAAAUCAUCAUCUAGGAAAAAUAUUGAAAUUUUUCCAACGAAGCAUCUUUAUUGGGUUAGUUUAUAUGUAGAUUUAAUUUUAGCUUAGCUGUAUUAACUGAAGAUGCAGUAGUCAAAGAUGUGUUCAGUAGAUACACCAGCCAUAUGAACAUGCAAACUAAUAGAAUCUGAAACGAGCAAAUUGAGUAUCUUCUAAAUAAAAAACAACUUAAUAUAAAAGUUAAGAAAAAUAAUCAUCUAUAUCACUUGGCAUCAGAUAUUCAUAUAAGCAGUAGGUGCAAUUCAUGCCUUUUCUUGAUAAAAAAGGAGGGUCAUAAUAUUAUACUGUAGAACUUCACCUGUAUAUCCUGUUGUACAGACUUGUUAUUGACAUUUUCCCUUGUAUAUGCCUUAUAGCGGUCAAUCGUUUUCUGGAGGCUGCAUAUAUAAGAAGCAAACUGUAAAUCAGAAAACAAACUACUUAAGAAAGUCUAAACAUAAUAAACAAUUUGAUUGAAUGCUGAUAUUAUUCAGUGGCUUAUGUAGAGUGUCAGACAUGCACAUCGAGAAAUCAUGGAAAUGACUUGAGUAGCUUAAUCACCAAUAUGUACUUUCUUUGGACACGUGACGCCAAUAAAAAGGUAUAAAUUUUAAGAUCUGCGUUAAACAAUUGAUGCAUCUUAUGAUCCGCUAGUAGCGAACUCAAAGCCAAAUUCCCAUGAUAUGCCAAAACAGAGAACAAGCAAGACCAUAAUAGAUUCUGUUUUGACAGAAUGGAUAUAAUUUAGCAAACAAAUGGACAAUAUCAACAUAGAGUAAUAUGUUGUAUUUCCAGAGGGCACAUACGAUAUGGUGUGUUUCCACUGCUUUCUCUGAACGAAUUUUUCCAGUAACAGCAUUAGAAAAACUAUUCUAUGUUCUAACCAUACCACUGUUAGAAGAAUAAAUUGGCCACAUCAACAGAAGCCUUGACAGUUUUUUAUUUAAAAAUGUUAAUACUAAAGCUGGCCAUCCCAUCUCUACCAACAAUAAUUAAAAGUUCCGCACGAAAGCUUGACAGGACAUGUCAACGAAGAUAGAUAAACCUUGUUCUGAUUUCAAUAUUAUAAUUCAUAGAAAGUAACAAUUUUGGUGAUAAUUGGGAGGAGAAACAAUGAAUUUAGUACACAUAUUAGAUAUGGAACUCAGAAAGGAAAAAAAAGAAAUAUGUGACAAUAGGAACCUUGACGCUGUAAAAUUCUCUGUUCAGAUGCAAAAACUAUAAAUCAUUCUCAAUUCACUAUUGGACCAGCAGUGGAGAUAACCUGGGAAGGAGAAAAUAGAGGACUACUUGGUUGAGGUUUAAUUAAGGGGAAAAAAUGCAUGAGCAUUGAGUAGGGAAAUUUGUCAAGAUCCAGGAGAAAUAUAUUGUUUUUCAAGCUUGGUAAAGUUUAAUAAGAAUAAUGCUAAGGUCAUUUUGGACACAAAACUUCCAUAAUACUCGUUCAAAGAAAGUGUCUAUUUUUGUUACACAUAUGCCCUUCAGUGCUGAUAUUCAGUACUGUAGUGCUAAACUGCUAAUAAGCUACAGCAGAUGCAUCAGUUAUCCAUUUUGAGUGAUUUUGGGAGAGUAACAAGGAGUCUUCUGUCUGAAGGGUUAAAUGAAGAAUAUUUCUCAUCAGUACAAACUGGUGGCACAGAACACAUGAAAUGGGAGGGGUAUGAUGGCUUCUAAUGUUGAUGAAUGAAUCUUUAUACUAGAUAAUAAGCAUCACUUGACAAAGUAGCCUUGAUGUUUUGAGGGGCAGGAAAUUUUUUUUUCAAUUUCCUGUGGUAUAAUUCAAACAUUCAAAAUGCUCUAAUUAGAAUUCAAAGUUAACCCAUUGAAUUCUUUUCGUUGCUAAAGUAAUGAUAAGAGCAAAAGGAAGGGGAUCAAAGUUGUUUAUGCUAAUCAGGUGACACCCAUUGCUGCAUGGAUAUUCCACAUCAUCCUAAAAACAACACUGAUAAUAUAAUAAUCCCUGUCAUAAUCACACAUUCAAUCUUAACUAGAGAGAACCAUAUAAAGAAAAUAUCUCUUGAUACAAUGUUAAAGAAUUUAUUUGAAAACUUUCCAUCGAAACCAAUUGUAAGACUAUCCAAAUUAACAAAACAGGUAUUUUUUCCUCCAAAAGUACAUGCAAAAGCUUUGUGGAUUGCAGUUUUUGGUAUUCUUGACCUAUAUUCUUAAAAAAAGAUUUGCAAAAAUAGGUAAGUCGUUUGGUAAUAAACAAACUUGCAUGCUGCAUUAGCUUUAAUAUUUAGUGAUGUAGAUGUUUCAGAACUCGACAGAUCAUGUAACUACAAAAAUAAUUUUAGGCUAAAUGAAAAACUGUUCUGGUUAAAGAAGCAUAGCAAACGGUUCUGGCUCAUAUUAGCCUUUUAAUUUCGCACUAAAUUACUCUAUGGUAUAUACAAUUGUAUUUCAUCAGUAGAUGGGGCAUACAUUGUUGAAAUGUAGUAACUAAACUGCAGCUUGACACUAAGGCUCCGUUUGUAUCCGCUUAUAAGCGGCUUAUCGGUGGAAAUAAGCGAGAAUCCCGCCAAACACUUUGCUUAUUUCCACCGAUUCUCGCUUAUGUGGUAAGCCGCUUCAACGAUUUGAACUACGAGAAGCGAAAAGCGAGAAGCGAGAAAAUCUUCGCUUAGAUUAUAAUCCAAGCGUGGCUAGGAAAAACGUAUACAAACAGGGCCUAACGCUAUAUAGCUCUCCCAAAAUUGACAUAUCAAAUUUUUUCUUCCGCUUUGUUAGUUUCGAGAGUCUCUAAUUAUCAGUCGGUCUUUCGAGAGUCUCUAAUUAUCAGUCGGUCCAGCAACAAAUUUAUUCUCCCUACAAGGAACAGGGACACUUCAUCAAGCCUUUGCAGACUUGUUAUCAAAUUUUUGUUUUUAUGUGAGACAGGAGAAUGAGGCAUGCUUGUUCUGAUGUUACAAGAUAAGAUCAAGAUCACAUUAAGGCUUUUUUCCUCCUUUUGUCAUAGGGUUCUCCUUCCAUUUUUUUCCACGAAGCAAGGUUCGCAUUUGCCAAAUUCAUAGUGGUAAAAUCCAUAAAGGACUAAGAUCUCAUUAUUUGCCAAUGUCAAGAUUCAAUUGGAUCAAGAUCAACAAUAAAUGAGAUGUACAAAUUGAACCACAACAUCUUGGAGUUUUUUGUUUGAAACAAAUGUUAUGCGCCCCCCCCCCCCAACCUAAGAUUUCAUAACUAUCACUAAUCAAAUACAUUUCUUAGGAAGAAUCUGUGGACCAAAAACCGAGUUAGGGGCACAAGCGACUCGGCUAGACGUAGUGCUCCAACAUUGUGUGCUCUUUGUGUUCCUUUCAUAGUCCUCGCCAAUUGCAGGGGUGGGGACCCCCAAUUAACAAUAUGAUAGCUUAAUCCCAAAUAAAACACCAUUGCAGAAUGCCUCAUUCUUGCAGGGGCAUCCAAUUUGGCCCAAAGAGCAUCUGUAUCGAAGGCCAUACACGCAGAGUUGGUAUGUGACACAGGGGUUCAAGAACAAUGGCCAACACUGAUGCACAAUAUUCAUGUUGAUUCUCAAAGAAGCCUAGAACAGAUAAUAUGUGUGCUAGUUCCCCAUUCAACAUGGAUACUCUAUGUAUCCAUGUUGGCUCGCAAGAAGACCCAAUAUAGAUAGCUAUGGUCUUGAACCUACCAUUUGACUAGCAUGAAUGCCAAGCAAUGAAAAUUAUUCUUCAAGAAGAAGUCGGAGCGUGUGCGCAUGUGCGGUUACUUAGAUCGGAAGUUGAAGUACAAUAACCUUUUCACCAUGUGUGUAUUAGUGUAUGUAUAUAUGCACAUUUUCCUCACUUUGUUUUUAGAAGAAGUCAAGAAGGAGAAGCCCUACACAAUUUCGUGAACCAAGAUCACCAAUGAAAGAGAAGGCAAGUAGUACAUCUACUAUUAUUCCUAGCUAGUGAUAAAUCUUGCAUUGAUUUGUGAAGGAUUUCCCACCCUAUAAUGAUGAUUAAAGGCCAUGGCUGCACCAAACCUUCCUAACAAAGAUGUUACCAUCUCUAGCCACAUGCUUUAUCAGCUUGCCAUGUGGAACGUUAGGUAGGCAGGACAAGAUGGUGGCAGCGUAUGAGUACAAGAAAGACUUUGAUUCUAGAAAUGCUAAUAUUGUCUACAUUGGCGAGCUUAAGCACUACCGCUUCAGGCUUGUGAAAGAUGAUGACGUAAGGUCUUUCAUUUCAUUGUUAUUCCUUUUUCUGUUGAUGUUGAUAGGCUUUAUGAUCAUUCCUAGGGUUGGUGGAAUGGAAGGGUCAACUUCCAUCAUGUCAAGAAUCUCACCAUUAGGGAAUAUGACUAGGAGGCACUAGGAUUUCCUAGGGAGUUAUUAUGUUGAAGAUGAUCGAAUCAUGUAAUUAUGUUCUUUGGUGAUGAUAUGUUCACUAUGUGGAGGUACUGGUGGUCAAAUAUGAUGUAUGACUAAUUAUGAUGUAUGACUGUAAUGUUUAUGAUGUACUAUUGUUUGCUAUUUUUUUUUGCUAUGUAUUAAGUAUACGUGUUGGUUUAGUACGAAGGCCGGCAUGGACAACUAGCUAUCUAUGCCGGCAUAGUAUGGGCGCUGGCACAAAUAAGAAGGUAUCGGUGUCGGCCCAUAUAAUAUUUCAGCACAUAUAUCUCUAUUCAAGAUCAUCCCGACCUAUCUCUCUCCACUUAUGGCUUUCCCUCACUUAGCUUGAACCCUAUCAUAUACACUACCACAUCUUCCUCUUCCCUCCAAUCCUCCUCCUAUGCUGCAUCCACCGCCACCUCUUCUAGAAGCAACAACAAUUGCGGUGCUAUGCAAGGAGGUGGCGGCAAAGGCUAUAGAGGCAAUGGUGCAUUCGGUGGCCUCCGCAACGGCAUGCGGUUGUGGAGGUGGUGAUGAGAGAGGCCAUCCUGCAUGCCUUGCUAAAGGCUACGGCUCGUAUCAUCAAGACAUGACCGUGCCCGAUAGCAAGGGCAGUGGCCAUGGCGAUUGUGAAAGCCAAUGCCUAGGUGGGCACCACAUUGGCACAAGCAGCAGUGGAGGCUCGGGCCCAUGUUGUGGCCCUAGCAGCGGCUUGCACGAUGAUGGGGCUUGGGCGGAUUUGGAGCACUAGCCAUGGCCACCGUCGUUGUCGACCCUACGACAGCAACUGCGGUGUUCAUGGUGGUGAUUGCCAUUAUCACAUGCUUGAUUCAAGCAAAAAUUUGCAUUUUUCCAUUUUUUAUCUUCUGUUUGAUUAGAUCAAUUGAAGAUUACAAUUACAUUAUAGGGGUUAUUUUGAAAUGUGGACAUUAUCUUAACGAAAAUCCAAACAAUGAUACAAGAUAGCUCGACCUAAAGUGUAACUUUGGCAAACUACACGACUCACAUGACUCUAAUGCUCUACUAACUUUAGGUAAAUUUUGUUCGUAGACACUUUUAAAGUGUGGCUUUUGCCGGAAGACAUGUUUUUUUGAAAAAAAUUGAUACUAGAUAUUCUAUAAAUAUGAUACCAAUCCCAUUAAAAUAUGACACCCGGUAUAAAAUUUCAUUUUUGCCCUUGAUCCAGCAACCUACCACUCUUCCACUAGAUUCUAGAGCCGUGGUGCCGCAAAAUGCAGAUGCCAAUACCCUCGCAGGUUGGUUCAAGCAGUCACUGUCUGUGUCCUUUGAUGAUGACACACAAAAGGUAGAGGAUAGACGUGAUAUCAGGGACCGAGGAAAACAUCAACAUUUAUGCUAGAUUUUGAUAUUCUCAUGAGUUUUUAUGUUCUACUCCCUCCUUCCUAAAAUAUAGCUAGUUCUAGCAUUCAAAUUUAUCCCAGAAUAUAGCUAUUUAUGAAUUCCUAGGGGUAUUUUGAGCCAUGAUCUAUCAAGAAUACCAUUCCCAUCUGCAAGCAUCUGCAUGCUGCCAUACAAGUUUAAUUUUAGUUGCAUGUAAAUACAUUUGGCAGGGAUAUUUAAUUGCACAUGUAGCAGGAUAUAAAAAUGAAGGACAAUUUAGACCUUUAAUUGCUCUUCUUAAUCUUUCUAAAAAAGUCUAAAACUAUCUAACCACAUUUCUAGAGUGACCAACAGUAAACAAUAAAAAAUCACGUCCUGUGGCAAAAAGCAACACUUUAUAAGUGUUCAGGAGCAAAAUCCCUCAUAUCUGUCGGGCUAUAUCAAUUUUCAGAAGAGUUGUUAUCAAUAAUCAAGGAUGCGAGUAAACUGAAACAGAACUGGAUCUAACUAUAAUUGGCUUGCAAAAAUUCAUAGCCAUAGCUUGAUGAUCUCUAUACCCUCCAAAUCAAUCAGAAGAAAUAAAAAGAAACCAUAACUGGUGAUCUGAGCCACUGGCUAAAGUAAAUCGGUUUACUGUAAAACUACGGUAGUGACAUAUACUCCAGGAUGUGGACAGUAUUGUUUGUUGGAAAAAAGCAAAGGAAAUAAACGUUCCAUCAUGGUAAAAGAAAACUUGGAAUGAACGAAAGGGGGUACACACCAUGUACGUUUUAUGGUUGCCAGUAAAAAGUACUUUUUUCUAAAACUUAUAUCACUUGAAGCAAUAGGUUGUCAACACUGAACAAAUCUGUUAUAAGGCUAUGGACUGAUUUAUGAAUUAUGAUAUGGAGAAAUGUUUGUAUGUUUAAACUUGGUUUGAUUUGGCAAGGACAUGAUAACAAUUUCAGCAAAGCUUGACGAUUGAUUAUUAAAUUAAACACCUACCACAUCUUGCAUAAAAUCUUUCAUAAUGUAAUAAGCCAAAUACAGCUUGUGUUCAAAUAGAGAUUCCAUCCAUUCAUAAGGAUCUAAGCAGGCUGAUAUACCGUGAUUUCAGAUAAAUUAAAGGCUUUAUGAAGUCAAUAAGUUUUUCAUGUUAAGCACAAGAAAAACCCUAUUAAGCCUAACCAAACGAGGAUUAAGAUGAAUACUCUCCAAGUAAAACAGGAGAAGCAAAUUGAAAACUCGUCCGAAGCUAAGACACUCAGGUCAGCCCUAUUCGUCAUGCAAUCAAACGUACGAAUCCUUCUGAGACUACAAUAUCGCAUGUAUUUUUUACCUUCAGAUGAAGCCAAUAAAUCCAGACCAAGAAGCACACGCAACCGACCAAACAAUAAACCAGCUCACUCUACUACGAACUGUAGCCAACGUCACAGCUGAAUGACCGGAGGAAGGCGCAAGCCAUACGGCCUCAAUGGAGCUGACGCGUGAUUGGAGAAACCAAGAAGGAAAAGUCAAUGGACAUCACCACUGCAUACCAAAAAAAGAUCGUUUCCAAAACCCCAAACCAAGCAAUAAUGCCUUUGGCUUGCCGGAGUAGGAAGCCAAGCUGCGGUAAGUCACAUGGCAAUGUUUCUCCGUGCUUGUAAGCCAUGGGCAUUCCUUCCUUCCACGCAAUUUUUGGGCACGCCUGCCUCUUUUUUCCACUCACUCUUGCUCCUAUUGGCUGCCGCAUAAAUCUCGACUUGCGCAUUGCAUUGGGGUUGCCCCCGUGUACUAUGGCUGUGCUUGGAAGUGCUGGCUGCGCAGCGCUGUAGAUGCAGCAGCAGGUGUACACAAGAUUAGACAGGAGAUGGAGAUAUUUAGGCAGGCUGAUGGAGAUUUUUAGGCAGGCUACCCGCUGCCGAGCGGCUGGCUGCUUCAGCUGCAGCAGCAGCCAGCCGGAUGUAGCACAGCCGGAUGUUGUCCUGGUUUUCCUUCAGACUUUAGUCGCUUUCUCCUGCCUGUGGUGCUGUUUGCAGUCCGACAUCGAAUGGGAGGAGAGAUGGAGCAGGGAGGAGGCUGCAAGCCUGCAAGUGGGUGGCCGACGGAGGGAGAAGGGAAACAGUAGCAAAGGGAGAUGAGAGAGAUGGAGGCAAAAGGGCGAGAGAGAAUGCGUGAUGUGCAUCGCGGCCGUACAGAUAUUUUCGGGGAGAGUGGAGUAUGCGCUACAGGAGUUCGCGGCUUCCAAUAAUAGCAACCGCGUCAUUUACACAACUGCGACGCCGCGUCGUCGCCCGGAACGCCCAAGCGUUCGAGGAAGACGAACCCCACCCGCAGGAAAACCCCAGUUCAAACAGCUCCAAAAAAAAAAUUCUCGAGUUCCAAAAUCAAGUCAAAUCCCCGUCGCACAAUCCGAAGCCGAAGAAGCAGCUGCAGCAGCGGAACGAGCUAGAGGACGGUUGGAAACGGGGUUCAUUUCUACAGAUUCGUCAGCGGGAGAAGCAGGAGGAGGAGGAGGAGGAGGGGAAUACCACGCACCUGGAGGCGCUGGCGAACUCGUAGAGCUUGCCGCGCGGGGAGAAGACGAUGAGGCCGACCUCGGCGUCGCAGAGCACAGAGAGCUCGAACGCCUUCUUGAGCAGCCCGUUGCGGCGCUUGGAGAAGGUCACCUGCCGGCUCGUCGCGUUCUCUAUCCGCUUCAUCUCCGUCUUCCCCCGCACCAUCCUGGCCGAUCGAUCCCUUCCCUCGCCGCUCCCGGAACGGAACCGGCCCCAAUCCUGGAACUCUCCCCGACCAAGCUACAAGCCUACAGCCAAACGUGAACCAACAGCAACAGUUAGCGGAGGAAUUUAAAAACCGCGCUGAUCAGAGGCCACGGGACGAGACAAAAACUAUGCAGAUCUCCAGAGGGGGGAGCUGGGCGCUCACCAAAAAUGGCAAAGCGAAAGAGGCAAGGCAGGCGGUCGUGGUGGGCUUGGCUGCCCCUCGCCCGCGCCGCCUCGGCUUUCCUUUCUAGCGCUUGCCCGCCCCGGCGCGCACGCGUGCGUGGAACUGUAGACGCGGUGGGGUGGGGUGGAUUUAUAAGGGCGGGGCGGGGGAACUAGAGUGACCGGGAGGAGGAGAGCAGGAGGUAGGAGGUGGACUGACGGCGGUGGUGGGUGGAGGCCGCCGUUUCGUGGUGGACGAGGCGCAAGGCGAGGUAAAAAAAAAAACGAGGGGACCAGGCCACCAGGGGGGGCUGGGCCGGGGAGGAGGGGCCAAAUACAGAAGGCGAUCGCGCGAGGGGAUUACCCUCCUGGGCAAACUCGAUCGGGUCCCGGCCGUCCCGGCCGCGGGGGCGCGAGUGCGGUCGCCAUUGGCCGUCGCCGUCGGUGCGCGGAAAUUGACGAGCUGGCGGCUGGCCCGGGUUCUCGCGUGGGGCUACGCCUACGCUGCGACUGGGAGUGCAGCCGGGAAAGAGGAACUAGAUCUACUGCAGACGAGUUAAUGUCGGUGACUUAACUGUAGGAGAAAUACUGCAGAGGAGUCUCAUCGGGAGAGAGGACGAGGUUAGAUGUGAGGCUGUGGCACAAUUCCGGGCGCGUUUGUUUCAUAUGAUUAUCACCGUCCAAAAGUACUCCUAUGUAUGUUUGAAUUUAAGCAAAUAACAUGAAUUAUUUAGUUUGAUGCCACAAGGCGCACUUGCUUAUACAUGAAUUUGUUCACUACUCUAUUCAACCUGAAAACUGAAAGUAAUGCCAAUGCCCGAACUUUUCUUGCAAUGCAGCAGCAGCACAGGAAAAUAUUCAUGCCGCAUUACUUCUACUUUAUUUUUUCCCCAUGGAGAUCGUCUGCCCAACACAUGGAUCCGGAGCUUUUUGUAAUUUUUUUCCCCAAUGAAGAUCAUCUGCCCAAAAACAAGGAUUAUGCCUUUUUCUGUUUUGCGGAAACACUCGUAUAUAUGGAUGCAAACUUGCCUUGCGAACAUGCGCACGCACAAAGUACUCCUAUAAGCACCUUUAAAAGAUUGGACCAGUAGAUCUUAAAAUUGAUGAAGUUAUCAUGGGUGCCUUGAAGUCACCGAACACGUCAUCUAACACUGAAAAAAUUAGAGCAACUAACUCCUGAAAUUAAUCUAGAAAGCACCCGUGUUGAGCUUAGAACUUGAACGUGGAUUAUGCAUAUUGCACCACAACUAAACUAAUUUGAUGAGCUUGAUUCAAUCAUCUACUAUGUAUAAAUCGCCGAAUAGCUAAAUUAGGGCAUGAAAUCCGAGAGCUAGGCAUGUAUUUUCUUUCCUUUCAUGUACUCCUUCCAUUCCAAAUUGUAGGUUGUUUUAGUUUUUUUAGUUUAUAGAUAUUAUUAUGCAUCUAAACAUACACUAUAUUCAGAUGCAUAAUAAUAUCUAUGAACCUAGAAAAGCCAAAACGAGCUACAUUUUAGAACGGAGGGAGUACAUUCAUACACAUAAGUUGUCUUAUAUGAGCUAAUUAUAAAACUAAUUACAUAAGUCGUAGUUAAUUGGUGAGUAGAAUCCAUUAGUCCUAAUUAGCCUAGAAUCCAUUAGUCCUAAUUAGCCUAGAAUCCAUUACUUAUAUAAUUAGUUUUAAAAUUAACUUAUAUUUAAUUCUCCUUAUUAAUAUCUAAACAUAGGGUUAAAGUUUAGCCCCCGAGGCUCCAAACAGUGCUUCAAGAAUGUAACUUUAGCACUCAUCAAUGUAUUUGUCCUUAGACGUGAGGUAAAAAUGUCCACAAGUAAUAAUCGUGCUUGUACCGACUGACUAAGGGGACAAGGGUUGCUCAAGCUUAUUGGGAUUACAGUGCUGCUGUGAUUUGAACGUAACUCUCGUGACUGCACGUACUACAGUAGAGAAGGCAGGAAACGGUAAACCGCUUUCUCGCCGGAACGCCGUGUGCCGGCCCCCAUUCCUGCCGAAGUUCCGUCUCCAUCGCCGUUAACCUCUCCACGUCACUGAACUCCCGGCGACCGUGCAACCCGCAUCUAACAACACACUGACACGUGAGCCCACAACAGCCUGGGACCACUUGUCAUCCUCUACUCGCUAAUCCCAAAUCAGUCUGGAAAGUCCAGAUGCAUUAUUAUGGCUUCCAGCCUUCCGCACCAAGUUGGGGGGCGUGGGACCAUGGACCAUGUUGCCAAUCCCAGGAAGCGUGGGGCCCGCGGGCGCGUACGAGGGUGGGGGAGGACUCGCGAGCCAGCCAGUGCCGGUCGGUCUCUCCGGCCCCGCGGCGUCGUACGGACGAGGCCUCUCCGAGGGCGACACGUCGACGGGGAGGGCGCGCCUCGCCGUUCGUGCCGCUCGCUGUGGGCGGGUGGGGUGGGGGGACCCCGAGCCUUUUCACGUGCCGGCACGGUACGAGGGAGUGACACCUAGCCAAUAGGAAAUUGCCAUAAUUGGGUACGCUCGAGCUUAUCGGCUGGAGCAUUUCUGUGCUUGCUGGUGCCGGUGGUUUUCCGGAGCCGAUGAAAAGUCCUCCAAAAGAGUGAACGGAAACAAGGUUACACGGGUGUCCAUUCCAGCGAGCAGGAGCAGAGAUAUUUAGAAAAGAUUGUAUGGUUGUUUAGUGGUGUUGUGGAUGCUAUAAUAGGGUUGGCUGAGUCUACUGUGAUAGCGGGUUGGUGGAAUAGAUAUGGUCUACGGAGGUCGCGUAUUGGACACGCACAUUUUUUAUUGGACAAACAUUUUAUAUGUUUUGUCCUUAAAAAAUUUGUAAAUUCUAUCGUAGGAUCAUACUAUCAAAAUUGCUUUUUAUACUAAAUAUUGUCCAGACAUUAAAGGAUUUAUGUAUGUCUAGAUACCAUAUUUAAAAGUUAGAAGUGGACAUUUAUUAUUUCGUUUUUAUUUAGUUCAAGUUCCCUAGUGCCUUCUGAUUAGCUCUGCAUGGCACUUUGUUUAUUGGCCCUGCUCUAGUCGUCAAACGUAUCUUUUCCAUAAUUAGGAAUUAUUAGGUUUAUACUUUUCAGUAUACAGUCACAAUAUAGUGUGGUACGUAAUGUCAUGACCCUCAGAUCCUAGGGAGGCUAUGCGUCUCAUUUCGUUCCCUUUGUUUGGCACUUGCAAAUUGAAGCUACAAUGAUUCUCUUUCACACUUGGGGAGCAAACACAAUAAGGCCUUGUUUGGGAGGAGGGGCUAAAAUUUAGCCUUGGGCUAAACUUUAGCCCUCUCAAAUGUUGAGGCUAAAGUUUAGCCCUUGGGGUGUUUGGGUAAGAGGCUAAAGUUUAGCACUUAUGUUGACAAAAGACCUAUUUAUCCAUGUUGGAGGAGUGAGGGAGGAGAGAGAGAGGGGCAGGGGAAGGAAUUUUGGAUAGGGGGACCACUUUUAGCCUCUUUAGUCCAUUUUAGCACCUCUUGAGAGGCUAAUGGAUUAUGGGGGGCUAAAAUUUAGCCCCUCCAUUUUAGCCUAGGUGUUUGGGAGCACUAGUGGCUAAAAGUGACUAAAAUGGGGGUGCUAAAAUUUAGCACCCCUCUCCCAAACACCCCCUAAUAUAGGUUGAGAUAUAUAGGUAGAGCUUCCAUCCUGGAGGUCGAUCUAGCUCUACGGGUAUACAGCCUGGACAUGUAGUAUCUAUCAGACUUUGCAGAAUAAUGUUUAUGGCUAUCAAGUUCUGAAUGUAAGCUACUUAGCCUGUAUCAUGUAUACAUAUAGGCGGCUCUGGUAUACAGCAUGUUCUGUUUCUGUCUUCUGUGGCUAUAUACAGGCACUUGCAAAUUGCAAUGCGUACAGUUGGCAAGGGUGCAAGGCAUAUUGAUUAGUCCGGAAAGCCGUACGGCCGUAGCAGGAUUAUUGGAUUACUUUCACUGCCAAAACAAGAAAGUGGCAACCAAGAUGCCAAGCUCAGCUGCAAUUCUCUGCAAAGGGCGCUAGCCAUGACUUGUCGUCAUUAUAUUUCAUAAAGUAAUCUUUAUAAAAAAUUCUGCUUGGCGUCCCUACUUUGUUGGUUUGGGCAAGCUGCCUAAUUGCGGAAUGGACUACUUUUGGCUCCGAUCCUAGGGCAACAUUAAUCGGUACGCAAAGAAGACAGGAGUAACCCCAAGAUAAUAGAUGCCACCCUAGCCACAAAGCAGAUGCUAAUCCUUAAAAUAUUCCGGGACUUUUGCCUCUUCCUAGUGUCUUUGCGUGAUGGUAAGCCACUUUGGUACACUUUUGUCUCUGCCGUGUUUUUUCCUUUGCCAUAUGCCAAUUGUUCCCUGUUCAUAUAGCAUCAUAAUGUUGCUUGCAAAAGCUUAAAACAUGAUAAGCCAUGUCAUUGAUGCGUCAACUUAGUUACUUACAUACCGUUAUGCAUAGCUUCAAAGAAAAUUUAUAUACUAGGCUGGGGAUAUUUUUCGAUUGUCAUGAAUCUAAGUAGUGUAGGUACGAUCUAGAGAUCCGUGCGCAUGAAAAAUAUGCAGAUGUGCUACUUGUAAGUUUAUCUGAGGUUAUAUUAAUAUAUAAUAAUAAAGUAGCAAUAUCCAGUCGUAAGUCGUAGGUGUGUUAUGCUAGAGUAGCAAAUUGAUUCAUGGUUGUCAAAGGAUGAACACUACAGGUCCUUUCGCUCCUAGUACAUAAUUAAAAUGCAAUCGUUCACCAGAUUGUGCAUCGAUCUCCAUACCUUUACUGCUAGUAGAACCUAGCUGUGAAAUAGUUAUAAGUCUGCAAUCAUCUAUACCUACUUGUAAGUUUAUCUGGGGUUAUAUUAAUAUAUAACAAUAAAUUAGCAAUAUCCAGUCGUAGGUGUGUUAUGCUAGAGUAGCAGAUUGAUUCAUGGUUGUCAAAUGAUGAACACCACAGGUCCUUUCGCUCCUAGUACAUAUUUAAAAUGCAAUCGUUCACCGCAUCGAUCUCCAUACCUUAGUUACUUACAUACCGUUGCAUAGCUUCAAAGAAAAUUUACUAGGCUGGGGAUAUUUUUCGACCGUCGUGAAUCUGGUAGUGUAGGUACGAUCUAGAGAUCCGCGCGCAUGAAAAAUAUGCAGAUGCGUUACUUGUAAGUUCACUUGGGGUUAUAUUAAUAUAUAACAAUAAAUUAGCAAUAUCCAGUCGUAGGUGUGUUACGUUAGAGUAGCAGAUUGAUUCAUGGUUGUCAAAUGAUUUAAAAUGCAAUCGUUCACUAGAUUGCGCAUCGAUCUUCAUACCCUAGUAGAACCUGGCUAUGAAAUGGUUAUAAGCCCGCAAUCGUCUAUACCUACUUGUCAGCGAAACACAACCAAGACAUAUGAAAGUGGCCACCAUACUACCGCCAACCUCACAACUCCUGAACAUUAUAUUACUUAUUCGGUUUUCCGUUUGGCUAGGUUCCUGAGCUUGUGCGUGGGAGCAUGCAAAAACCCCAGAGGAUAUCUUCUUUUGAGAUUUGUACCUGGAAGCUUAGAAUAGCGGUGAGUGGUUUUGUGGUCCAUGCAAUUAUGGUAAGUCUCGUUCUUUAUCUAGUAACUAAAGGGUUUUGCCUGGUACCUGACCGGGAAGCUCGUACCUUUUGAAGGCCCCGUUGUGGUCUGCUAAAUCGGACGUGAGCAAGUGAUUGGUCUUUUCGCUGCAACGUUGGGUGACCUCCCACUUUGAUGGUUUGAACGCUAGCUGAAACUGCUGCAUUUUGAGGCGUCUGUCUCUCUCACUGUCUGAGUGACCGACCGGCUGGCAUUGCGCAGAGGUAAAGCUAGCCUGCCUAUCUUUCUCGGAUGAAUCCAAGCAAAAUGGCAUCCGUAUAUUUCAGUGUACAUCAGAUGGGUCGAUGGGAGCAGCAGUUGUACAAGCUGCAGCAGUGGUUAUGAUUUAUGAAGAGCACGGGUGGCACUUGGACAGUUGGACCAUGGGUGGGGGGUGGCUGGGUGCAGAUAGCAUACAUACCAUGCAUCUCUGGGAAUGAGUAUAGCAACGUAUGUCUAGUCGUGAAACAAUUUGUAUACUAGUAGAGUCCGUAACAUUUCAGCUUUUGCUGUACAAACAGUAUUUAUUGAAAUUUUAAGACUGGCGCUAUAAUAUUUUUUUAAUACUCAUUCCGUUUCAAAUUAUAUACUUUACUUUGUUUUAAAUGUAUGACGACGUUGAUCAAGCUUAUCAAAAGUACCAACGUCUAUUACAUCAAAUUAGUUUAAUUGAAUAAUCCAUCCAGAGAUAUAUCUUGAUACUACUUUUAUUUUGUAUUAUAUAUGUUAAAAUAUAUUUUCUAUAAACUUUGGCUGAAGUUAAAAUGUUUGACCUCAGAAAAAACUAAAAUCAAUUAUAAUUUAAAAUAAAGAUAAUAUGAACUAGCAGUAAUGGGGACAGAUAAAUAUUCUCGAAUGGGCACACUUGGGCCAUCACUGUCUUGACAAUCCGUUAAGAUCCUUGUCUUCCUCCUUCAAAUCUCAACUUGGAAGCGGAAUAAAGCGCCCACAGCGACGGACGUGGACACCGUAGGAGAAAAAAGCCUUGGAGCUAACACACCCUAGCGAACCGGUGGACAGCGACGGUAGAGCUACGGGGUGCCGCACGGCUCCAUCUAUCAGCGGCCGGCCACGGCGAGGUCUCGCCUCUCCGCCCGUGCUCGCGGCACAUCGAGACGACGUCGAGCGACAGGAGCAAGCGGACGCGUGCGGUCGCCAAAAUAAGGGAAUGAUGCAUUACAAGGGAUCGAGCGAGACUGCGAUCGACAGCCCAAUCGAACCGGCAAACUCUCGUGCCCUAACUUCAUGUAGAUGCUGAUAUGGAUGAUAUCCUGAUCUCUUGUACUCGAUCGGAGUGCGGAGUGCCUAUUCUGCUGAGGAUUCAGGUCCCAUCGGGCGAUGCAUGAAUAGAAUAGCACCCGUAGAACGACAUAAAUAGAGCACUAACAAACCCUCCACUGCGUCAAAAAAAACUUUGUGGUGGCGGCUAGAAGAAGUUUGUGCUGGCGGGUGUACCCGCCAGCAACCUUGAGCCAGCAAAAAUGACUAUUUGCAUUGGCGGGCCUCUUAAGCCACCCGCCAGCACAGAUGGUUUUUGUGCUGGCUGGCGGAUGCUUAUAUAUAGUAUUAUACAUAUAAAAACUAUAUUAGGAUAUAUAUGAUAUUUGUUUUUGCUAAGUUAGUUGACAAAUUUAAAGUGUGACUUGAGUUAUAUGAAAUAUUGUUAGUGAAGUAUACAUUUGUGAAUAAUGUAGAGUCUAAUUUUUGUAAAAACAUAUUGAAACUUUUAUAUCAAGGUUGUAACUCACAAAAUGACUCCCUACCAAUUUAUAUAAUUUUCAGACCAUAUUUUCAUAUUAUUAGAAUUUUUUUCCACCAAAAGUUGUAAUAGAAGUGAUAAAUACAUUAACAAAUUUGUGAAAUUUCACGUGUACUUUCAUGAUUUGAGCUAAAAUGGAACAUAUUUCCUUAUUUUCAUUUUUCUACAAUUUUUGAAUCUUAUUUGUGAAAAAAUUAGUUCAAAUAUCAAUUAAUUUCAAUAAACAUGGUUAUAAUCGUUUAAAUCUUAGAAAAUUGUAAAUCACUUCUAAAAAUUUUGAAACUCCUACACAAUUGCAUAUAUAUAUAUAGUCUAAUACAUGUUAAAAAUAUAUUGGGAUAUGUACGAUUAAGUUUUUCGCUAGUUAGAAACUUUUGGCCCUCCCCAUCAAUAUAAAUUGGAAUGCAUUUGUGCUAACGGGUGACAUAAGCACCCACCAGCACAAAUGGCAUCCAUUUGUGGUGAUGGGUUUUAACGGGCUGGCCACUGCACCUUUUGUGCUGGCGGGUGGCAUUCAUGCCCGCCAUCACUAAAAAAUCAAAGUGCUGGCGCAAAUCGUUUCUGGCGUAGUGCUGAACAGGAUAUGGGUUAAAAAAACAAGAAGAAGACUAUUUUUGGCCAUCUAACUAUUGUCUCGGUUUAGUUUUGACCAUCAAACUGCAAAACCAAGAAUCUUUGGCCAUUUAACUAUUAAAACCGUUCAUAUUUGGCCAUUAGGUGGUAUUGGUGGGUGGUUUCGCUGACGUGGAUGACACAUUAUGGUGGGACCUAUAUGUCAGGACCCUCUCUCUUCUCUCCCUAUCCCUCUCCCUCUCCCUCUCCUUCUCCUUCCCCUCUUCCUCUCCCCGAUGAGCACGGUCUUGGUCCGCCCCGUGAACCUCGUCCCUGCGCCCAUCUCAAGCUCGAUGCCAGCGACCUCGGUGCCAAGGAACUCCCACACGAACUCGACGCUGUAUGCAGGACGCCGCUCAGUGCUGGGAUGGAGCAGAUUUUGGGGGAAGCUAGGGGUGGCGGGGUCACGGGGAUGGGGGUGCCGGUGUGGGAGCAGAUGGGGGAGGGGGGCAGCCGGCAGUGGCGGGAUGGGGGUGCCUAUGUGGGAGCAGAGAGAGAUACGGCAUGGCGGCCGCGACAACGCCGCCUCGUCUAAGUUCCUUACUGCACCUCGUCGUCCUAUUCUCUGCCAGCGUUGCACGCACGGCCGCCUACUCCCCACACCCUUCACCCUUAUUCUCCACCGAGCAACCGAUCCUAUCUCUUUCUCAAUCCCUCUUUCUUUCUUCUUCUUGCUCCACCGCCCAGAACAAAACUGAUCGGAGCUCCGCCAGUUGAUUUGCUUAGCUUCGGCCACCACCCACAGAUCGCUACCACAAUCAUCUCCUACACCCACCCAACAACUCAGGCCGCCCUUUUCUUCCACAUCAAUUGUUCCUCCACUACUAGCUAUGGCCUGAGCAAAGCACCCGCAAGUGGAGCCACGGCAUGCUGAUUGGCCAUGUGAUGACCAGUAGCUCGCGCUCCUCCACGUCAAGCUUCUACCUUUCAUCUACUGCUACGCAGCAAGAGAGAGAGAGAGGGGGGAGGGAGAGGGAGAGAAGAGGGAGGGUCCUGACAUGUGGGUCCCACCGUCACAUGUCGUCCACGUCAGCGAAACCACAAAAAAAUACCUGAUGGCGAAAUAUAAAUGGUUUUAAUAGUUGAAUGGCCAAAGAUUCCUAAUUUUGUGGUUUGAUGGUCAAAACCAAAUCGAGGCGAUAGUUGGAUGAUCAAAAAUAGACUUCUUCCAAAAAAUAUAGAUCAGCCUAGGAGGAGCUGGACGAUUUUUCAUUAAGAAGAAGAAAUAGGCAUCAAAAUUCGAGCUAGAGGGAACUCGAACGUGGAUGGUUAGAGUGCACGAUCACAUCUCCCACUCUAACCAGUUGAGCUAGGCUCACUUCUUAAGAUAUGAGUUUUGUGUCUUGUCUUUUGAUUUGCUACUCCAUGUAGCCAAGAACAAACCAUAUUUGUAAAACUAAAAAAAACUUGACCCGUCGGGAUGACCUCCCUGAAGGCAUUGUAAUUAAGGUAGAGCACAACCUUUGACCACGGGUUGAGAAAAUCUUCGAACCCCGGCUUGUGCCGGCGAGGGGAUUUUUUUUAAUUCGCUUCCCUGAAAAUUUGAGCAUGAUAGGUGCUACUCAGGUGCUCUAAC
rnacentral:lncRNA from 1 species